CGGGAACACCCCCGGAGGUAUAGCUGGAAAACCCCGCCAGGACCGAGAGGUAGCAACGGUAUUCAGACUAUGCUUGUCGGGGUGUUGUUCCCGGCG
rnacentral:SRP_RNA from 1 species